rnacentral:rRNA from 1 species
GACGAACGCUGGCGGCAUGCCUAAUACAUGCAAGUUGAACGAUGAUAUUCUCUGCUUGCAGAGAAUUGAAGAGUAGCGAACGGGUGAGUAACACGUGGGGAACCUGCCCAUGAGAGGGGGAUAACAUUCGGAAACGGAUGCUAAUACCGCAUAAUGCUUUGGACCGCCUGGUCCAGAGACGAAAGACGGCUUUUGCUGUCACUCAUGGAUGGCCCCGCGCCGUAUUAGCUAGUUGGUGAGGUAAUGGCUCACCAAAGCUGUGAUACGUAGCCGACCUGAGAGGGUGAUCGGCCACACUGGGACUGAGACACGGCCCAGACUCCUACGGGAGGCAGCAGUAGGGAAUCUUCCACAAUGGGCGAAAGCCUGAUGGAGCAAUGCCGCGUGAAUGAAGAAGGUCUUCGGAUCGUAAAGUUCUGUUAUUAGAGAAGAACAAGUCAAGGAGUAACUGUCGUGACUUUGACGGUACCUAACCAGAAAGUCACGGCUAACUACGUG